CAGCUUUAAAUCUGCUCGUCGGAGAUCUCACAGGGUUUGGGCCUGAUUGGGUGAGGGGAUUCUGGGCAGGUUGCAUCCCUGUCCAGGUACCCCCUUUUUUAACGUGGGGAUAAAAAUACCCACCUGCCUGGUGGCGCAGUGGUUAAGCGUUGGGCUGCUAACCAAAAGGUCGGCAGUUUGAAUCCACUAGCUGCUCCUUGGAAACUCUAUGGGGCAGUUCUACUCUGUCCUGUAGGGUUGCUAUGAGUUAGAAUUGACUGGAUGAUAACGGGUUAACGGGCCCUCUUCUCUAGGCUGUGGGAGAAUGCAACGAGGUGCCCCAGAACUGUCCCUGUCCUUACCAUGCAGGUCCCUAUAAAGCGAGGCUGUGACCUGUGAUCUCCACCAGGACAGGGACUGGGUCCUGUCGCCGCUGGGUCUCCUAUGCCUGGAACAGUGUCUGGCAUGCUGUGGACGCUUGUUUUGCCAUUCCUCUAGGCUCAAAGGGAGACAGAGAGAGAGACAGGAGCUGGAACAUGGAAGACAGCAAGAGAAGGGGGUGAGAGACGGCUGCGGUGGGGCUUGCCGACCCAUGGAGCUAAGAGUUGUAAUACUCGCCUAAGAAGACCCCCAGCAGCAGCAGGGCCCAGCAGCAGAAGCUGAGAAGAAGCUGUCCUGAUUGAAGAAAUGUAUCCUAAGUUGUUUC